rnacentral:rRNA from 1 species
UACGUAGGCGGAAAAUUAAGUCAGUAGUGAAAUCCUGCAGCUUAACUGUAGAACUGUUGUUGAUACUGGUUUUCUUGAAUAUAGUUGAGGUAGGCGGAAUGUGUAAUGUAGCGGUGAAAUGCUUAGAUAUUACACAGAACACCGAUUGCGAAGGCAGCUUACUAAGCUAUGAUUGACGCUGAGGUACGAAAGCGUGGGGAGCGAACAGGAUUAGAUACCCUGGUAGUCC